ensembl:lncRNA
AGAGAGAGGAGGGAGGGAGAGGGAGAGAGAGAGAGAGAGAGAGAGAGAGAGAGAGAGAGAGAGAGAGAGAGAGAGAGAAAAGGGGAACCCCAGAUCCUAGCAGGGACUGGCAGAAUGGGAGACAGACCAGCAGAGACAAAAAUGAAGGGAAAAAAAGAGCAAACCCCCCCCCUCUUCCAAAAGGACACAUGACCAGAGAAGAAGAAGGAGAGGAGGGAGUUUGGGGGGGGGUUCAUUCCCAGCCCGGCGUCGGGAGGAAACGCUUCUCUCACCCGCAGACUGAUGGACCAGAGUCAUUCCUUUGUCCAAUGGGAAACCUCUCCGACCACUGCAGUCGAAUUAACUAGAAAAGGUGUGCUUGUCAGAGUGGCCAAUGGUGGUCUGAAGAAGAGGAAGAGGAAGAUGGGAUGAACAUCGUGUCCCGCUGCCUCUCGGCGCUGUCAGUUGCUCAGUAGGCAGUGUAGAUCCUGUUUAGCAAUCAGCAGCUACAUCUGGCUACUGGGUCUCUGAAGGCGCUGCCCACUUCCUGGGGAGCAUACCAUCAGCUUGCCAUUGGCUGCCGGUGCAUUCCGUCGAUUGGCUGAGAGGAGGAUGUCUCGAGAGUGCUCUGCCGUGUGACCUUACAGACAGGAUGUGCUCAAUGUGUGUCCCGAUUUUGCAACGGGCCCCAAAAAUACUGUUUGAUUGUUCUACCCCUUCCUUUAGGAAUCUUGUACACUCCCCCUCCAUCCUCUCAUCUUAUCUCAUUCUUCUAGCUGCCAAUAAAAUAAUUGCGUUUUUUUCAACGCACUAAAAAAAUGUGUGCCAAUGGCGCUGGACAAAAGAAACACUUGAAUGAUGGAUUUGCAGGUUGUCUGGUGGCCGUGGUGUCAAACGCCGUUGCUUUAUCCUGAACCUGGCAUACAAUGUAGAUAUCUGUGUUGUCCAAUUCUACAGCUACAUUGUCUGCUGGGUUUCUGGCUAGCAAUAUAAGCAGCUUUAAAUGCCCCUGGAAACUCAAUAGGGUAAGUGUCUCAUCAAUCAGGUCUGCCAUUGUGUAUGAAAUGCUGAAACAGUGACUAAUUCAAUAAAAAUAAACUAUUUCUGCUGAAAAGAUUGAUUUGGUUAUUUUCUCGAGAAGAAAAAAGUCUGUUGGAUGGAGAAGAGGCUCACUGAGCUCUGGAAUCCGAAUAAUCUGAAUUUUACUCCACAGUGCUUAUCUGUCCUCUGACUUUAUCUCCAGCGAGGUUUGCCAGGAAUAUUCUGGUAACUCAGCAAAAUACUGGGGAGGGUGUCUGUCAGGGUGCUGUCAGACUCGCUCCCUAUUAGUGGCUUUCCGCCUA